rnacentral:rRNA from 1 species
CCCCGAACUUGCGUGAGGGGUGCUUUUAUUAGAUCAAAACCAAACGUCUUCGGACGUCCCCCUGGUGAUUCUGAAUAACUUUUUGCCGAUCGCACGGCUUCACGCCGGCGACGUGUCCAUCUAAGGUGUGCCCUAUCAACUGUCGACUGUGGCAUAGACGCCCACAGUGGUUUUGACGGGUAACGGGGAAUCAGGGUUCGAUUCCGGAGAGGGAGCCUGAGAAACGGCUACCACUUCUAAGGAAGGCAGCAGGCACGCAAAUUACCCACUGGUCGAAGACCGAGGUAGUGACGAAAAAUAACGAUACCAGACUCAUCCGAGGCCUGGUAAUCGGAAUGAGUACACUUUAAACCUUUUAACGAGGAACAAUUGGAGGGCAAGUCUGGUGCCAGCAGCCGCGGUAAUUCCAGCUCCAAUAGCGUAUAUUAAUGUUGUUGCGGUUAAAAAGCUCGUAGUUGGAUCUCGGCGGGCAGGGGACGGUUCGUUGUUUGACGCUACUGUCCCAUUGUCCCGUGAUGUUUGGUCGGAGGUUCCGGGGUGCUCUUAACCGAGUGUCCCGGGGCGCCGUCCGGUUUACUUUGAAAAAAUUAGAGUGCUCAGCGCAGGCUUUCCACGCUUGAAUAUCAGUGCAUGGAAUAAUGGAAUAGGACAUCGUUUCUAUUUUGUUGGUUUUUCGAAAUCGAUGUAAUGAUCAAUAGGGACAGUCGGGGGCAUUAGUAUUCCGGCGACAGAGGUGAAAUUCUUGGACCGCCGGAAGACUCACUACUGCGAAAGCAUUUGCCAAGAAUGUUUUCAUUAAUCAAGAACGAAAGUUAGAGGUUCGAAGGCGAUCAGAUACCGCCCUAGUUCUAACCAUAAACGAUGCCAGCUAGCGAUCCGCGGACGUUUUUACUGUAGGCUCCGCGGGAAGCUUCCGGGAAACCAAAGCUUUUGGGUUCCGGGGGAAGUAUGGUUGCAAAGCUGAAACUUAAAGGAAUUGACGGAAGGGCACCACCAGGAGUGGAGCCUGCGGCUUAAUUUGACUCAACACGGGAAAUCUCACCAGGCCCGGACACUGGCAGGAUUGACAGAUUGAGAGCUCUUUCUCGAUUCGGUGGGUGGUGGUGCAUGGCCGUUCUUAGUUGGUGGAGUGAUUUGUCUGGUUAAUUCCGAUAACGAACGAGACUCUGUCCUGCUAAAUAGUCCCGCCGUCUUCUUUGCGGCGGGAAUUCUUCUUAGAGGGACUGGCGGCAUCUAGUCGCACGAGAUUGAGCAAUAACAGGUCUGUGAUGCCCUUAGAUGUCCUGAGCUGCACGCGCGCUACAAUGACACAUUCAGCAAGUACCUCCUGAUCCGAAAGGAUUUGGGUAAUCUUUUUAGUGUGUGUCGUGAUAGGGAUAGAUCUUUGUAAUUAUGGAUCUUGAACGAGGAAUUCCUAGUAAGCACAAGUCAUCAGCUUGUGCUGAUUACGUCCCUGCAAAAUGUACACACCGCCCGUCGCUUUUACCGAUCGAGUGUUCAGGUGAACCUUCUUGAUAGCGAUUACGCU